UCAGCAAAGGCUGACUCUGAGUAGACUCAUUGAAAUUAAUUGACCUAAUCAAGUAAUGAUUAUUAAUUUCAGUGAGUCUACUCAGAGUAAGCCUUUGUUGA